rnacentral:rRNA from 1 species
UACAGAGGGUGCAAGCGUUAAUCGGAAUUACUGGGCGUAAAGCGUGCGUAGACGGUUAUGUAAGUCAGAUGUGAAAGCCCCCGGGCUCAACCUGGGAAUUGCAUUUGAGACUGCAUAGCUAGGGUGCGGAAGAGGGAAGCGGAAUUUCCGGUGUAGCGGUGAAAUGCGUAGAUAGUCGGAAGGAACACCAGUGGCGAAAAGCGGCU